AUGCCCAUGUCCUCCCAGGCCCAUCCAACCCCUAAUCCUAACCCUAGCCCGACUCCUCCCUCGAUACCUCUCCCCUUCCCCCGUUCCCUUCCAUCCAGCGCCGCCAGGAGCCUCGCUCCCCAUCUCCCUCCGCGCCCGAUCUCCUCCUGCACCGUGCCCCGAUCGAUGGCGCCUCCUGAGCAUGCCCGAUCUCCACCAGCAGCCUCUCCAUCGACCCCGCUCUCCUCCUACCCUACGACCAAGCCGCCGCCCUGGAGCUUCUCCGCCGCCGGCGCCCUUCUCCAGCGCCCCAAGUCUCGUCGGCGCCUGCUCCUGUAUCGAGCAGGGGAGCAAGGAGGACGAAGCCCAGCUCUGCCGCCUAGGCAAUUCGUCUGUGCCGCGCCUCCCCUUCCUCUGCUCCCUUUUCGACCUCCUCCUCGUCGUUGCCAUUGCCACAAGCAGAGGCUUGCCUCGCCUCCUCCGACAACCUCAACUUCCAGCCCGCUGCUCUGCCUCGCCUCUCACCCGGCCGCCCCCGCGUCGUCUGCGCAGCCGCCUGCAUCACGCCCGAGCUCCCGCUUCCUUCGUCCAUGGCGUCGCUGCCGUUCCUGGCCUCGCCCACAGCUCCUCCAUGUUCUGGUGUCGCCGACUGACCUCGUCUUCCUCCUACCCUGCUGUUGUCAUCGAGCACCAUUGAUGCAUCUAUGUGUGGAACCUGCAAGUACCCCGACGUUCAUCACCAUGCACAACUACAGCGACAAGGGUACCACUACCGUCGACCUAGGGACGCCAAGUUCCUCUACUACCCGUGUGUGGCUACAUCCGGAGAUGCGUCAAGUUCAACUUCCUUCAUGGGAACGACUACCUCUCGCGGGCGUGUAUCGUCGCCUUGUACCAUUUUGGUUCUUCAAGGCCACCAAGUUCCGCUACGAGAUGUACCCGUACCAUCGCCGAAGACCCGUGUAA
rnacentral:rRNA from 1 species